rnacentral:tRNA from 1 species
CCUGGUGGCUCAGGUGGUAAAGAAUCUGCCUGCAAUGCAGGAGACCCAGGUUCAAUCCCUGGGUCAGGA